UGUCCUGUAUUUUUUUCAAAUGUGAAAAAUGAAAAUUUUAUUUCAUCUAGCAUUUGUCUAUAUAAAAUAUGGUGUCCUUUGUGUAUUGUCCUUUCUUUUUCAUCUCACAUCAACCCAUCGUAGCCUUAUUUGCCAUGGCUCUGCAAGAUGUGUUUAUCCUUACCGAACUCAAUGACUCACACACAUCUUUGGUAUUUGCCUUAGGGUUGUCCAUCUAUUUUGGGAUUUUCCUUUUGAGGAGAUAAAUCCUAAAGUUACCCUGAAUGUGAUUGUAGCGAAUAGGAAGAUGUGUACGGCAUUAUGGCCGACGUGGGUUGCCUGGAGGAUGUAUUGGUUAACGGGGAGUGGACUUAUGAGUUCAAUUUUGAUCUCUUAGAUGACUAGUAUGUUCUUAUUUGUUCAUUUCAGGCUGUACAUGUUUAUGAUCACAUUUUACUCAAGUCAAAUUGUGGAUUUGUUCCUUUUCCAUACAGCAGUAAUUGUUUCCAUUGCAUCCUCCGUGAUUCAUCUGCUUAUUGGACAUAUACUCAUUAUGCUCAAUUACCAUCUGAAGAUGAUCGUGUUGUCUUGCUCAAAUGGGUCAAGAUGGAGAGGGUCAAGUAUAUGAUACUUGAGGAAUUGAUAUCCAUAAUUUUCUUUGAAUUGAAUUGAGUGGUUUUCUUUCUUGAUAAUGAUUGAUUUGAUGGUGAAGCCAAUUUUUAUGCAGCACACAUGUUAUUUUGAAGCUUCAGUAGCAUCACCAUGGUUGUUUAUGAUUUUUCUAAUCCUGAGAUACUAAAUUUCAACAUUAACAUUGAUCGAAAGCAUUGCAGUGCCCAAGCAACAUCGACAUUGUCUUGCAAGUAUUAUCUUUAUGGAUGAGUAGUUUGAC